UACGAAGGGGCUAGCGUUGCUCGGAAUUACUGGGCGUAAAGCGCACGUAGGCGGAUUGUUAAGUCGGGGGUGAAAUCCUGGAGCUCAACUCCAGAACUGCCUUCGAUACUGGCGAUCUAGAGUCCGGGGAGAGGUGAGUGGAACUGCGAGUGUAGAGGUGAAAUUCGUAGAUAUUCGCAAGAACACCAGUGGCGAAGGCGGCUCACUGGCCCGGUACUGACGCUGAGGGUGCGAAAAGCGUGGGGGAGCAAACAGGG
rnacentral:rRNA from 1 species